AGAUCAUACACGAGCAGGGCAGCUACAGUUUCCUGGUCUGUGGGAUGAUCUUUGGAGGUUUGGCCUUUACCUUCUACGCCUUCCUCUUAUUCUUCCACAGGAUGUACCCCAAGCCCUCAUCAGAUCUGGAUGCCACCUCACCUGACAAGCCAGCAGUAACGGAUGACAAUGGACUUUAUCAGCGCUAA